rnacentral:tRNA from 1 species
UUCACUAUAGCCGAAUUGGAAAAGGCAACUGUUUAGGGAACAGUCUUAUGCUGGUUCAAGUCCAGCUAGUGAUC